GUACACUCCUGCGGGAGGCAGCAGUGGGGAAUAUUGGACAAUGGGCGCAAGCCUGAUCCAGCCAUGCCGCGUGAGUGAUGAAGGCCCUAGGGUUGUAAAGCUCUUUCACCGGUGAAGAUAAUGACGGUAACCGGAGAAGAAGCCCCGGCUAACUUCGUGCCAGCAGCCGCGGUAAUACGAAGGGGGCUAGCGUUGUUCGGAUUUACUGGGCGUAAAGCGCACGUAGGCGGACUAUUAAGUCAGGGGUGAAAUCCCGGGGCUCAACCCCGGAACUGCCUUUGAUACUGGUAGUCUUGAGUUCGAGAGAGGUGAGUGGAAUUCCGAGUGUAGAGGUGAAAUUCGUAGAUAUUCGGAGGAACACCAGUGGCGAAGGCGGCUCACUGGCUCGAUACUGACGCUGAGGUGCGAAAGCGUGGGGAGCAAACAGGAUUAGAAACCCUGGUAGUCCC
rnacentral:rRNA from 1 species